ensembl:lncRNA
CGUUGACCAAGAAGGUGAACUUUGAGCUUUUCUUCGCUCAAGGAAAAAGAAAACGUCUCCUUUUCUUCAUUUAUCGGUUACGCUGAGGAAGUGCUCUCCUUUAGGAAUCCACCCGCCGCUGAGAUUUUUCAACGUGAAAUGAGCCGUGGGCGACCCCAACGAGGUCAAGGGUCGUAUUUGGGGCCGAAAAUGGAUUUCCCACGUGUGUCCGCAGGAGUGUGAAUGAGCACGUGACGAAGGAGCACUCUGGUAACGUGGAAUUAAGAUAUGAAGUCACAUCACAAUAUUCUCUCUCUGGCGUUUGCUCUCAUUCAUUCGUAGAAACUCCUCUCAGCUGCUUUUAGCUUCCAGCUGUUUUGGCUUUAAUAAGCGCUUAUUGUAUUCAAGGAAUAUGUAAAGCUCCCUCUUGCAUCAGAGCCGCUGGGGGGGGGGGGUAAAUAACGCUCAGCUGUCACUUUCUCACGUCCGUCAGGAGGCGAUAAAGAUGAAUUAGGAAAGGCAAACACCAAAAGACGCCUUCUGAAAGCUGACGAGCUCAUUGUGAAUAUUUUUGACAAACGUCCCCAAAAGGAUCCAGAUCAACUUAUUUCGUCCGAUUUAAUCAAUUUCUUCAUUUUCCCCUUCGUCGGGACAAAGGUUCGAACUGUCAUCUACUGUAUCUGCUUCAUGCAUCGGCUUCAGUAUUCCUUGCUGUUGUUUUUUUUUAGUCGGAAACUGUGAGGUUUAUUCCCGCUUGGCGUCCUGUGGAAGCCGACCGAUCGUGAUCCACAACAUGAAGCAAAGAGUUUGGUGAAAAAAAAAAAAAAGAAAUCAGUCAAGCUUGAAGGCCGAUCUGACCGCGGGUUCGACUCCCACUUUCGGUCCGGUCGGGCCUCCACAGGCACAGACGAAAGUUACGGCCGGCCUCUGACGUGAGCACACUUCAGGGGCCGUGGGUAAUUGAGAUAUUUUUCUUUUUCUUUCCCGGCAGAAGGAAAUCACAGAGAGGGAGAGAAACGCGAGGCCGGAUCUCACACUUCAUCAGUUAAAUGAUGCUGAACCAUGUUUAGUGAAAAGGAGGAGACCUCUGACUGAUGUUAGACUUAAAUAUACAUUUUGCAGCUCUCUGCCCAUUUGCGUGAAACACAUUAAAUAAAAAAAUAAAAAAGAUAGUAUGCAGUUUCCUGUCUUCUAUCAGCAUAAUUGUCUCUGAACUCAGUCGUGGCGCUGGUGCAAUCGUUCUUGGUGACGCUGUAAAAAAAUAAAACGCAAAUGAUUCAUUUCCUGUGAGCUACUAUGAUGUGAAAUGGGCAGAGUAGAAGCAGAACAUGAUACAAUAAGAUGCCGUCAUUUCCUCUCUUUUUUUUUCUUCUGCGUUGUCACUUUACCUUGAUCCCAGCCUCUGGAUUUUUUUUUCUUAAUGUUUUUUUCUCGCUGAUGUUUUUUCGCCUCGGCCGCCAUCUUGAAUGUUGAGUAUUUCUGAUCGUGUGCUGUUGUCACUUGCAAAGCAGUGUUCGCUAUCAAGGAGGGAAAAGUACUCUUUAUGUUUGCUAUCCUGAGUACGUCCACAUUCCUAUUGUUCAUGACAUCUGUA